GAUGAAGAACGUAGCGAAAUGCGAUAAGUAAUGUGAAUUGCAGAAUUCAGUGAAUCAUCGAAUCUUUGAACGCACAUUGCGCCCAUUAGUAUUCUAGUGGGCAUGCCUGUUCGAGCGUCAUUAAGUCCACUUAAGCCCUGCUUAGUGUUGGGAGACUGCUCCAGCGGUGCUACCCUGUAGCUACCCUGCAGCUCCUCAAAGACAGCGGCGGAGUUGUGGUAUCCUCUGAGCUUAGUAACUUGUUCUAGCUUUCGAGUACACCACUUCCCCUGCCGUAAAACCCUUAAUUUUUAAUGGUUGACCUCGGAUCAGGUAGGAAUACCCGCUGAACUUAAGCAUAUCAAUAAGCGGAGCA
rnacentral:misc_RNA from 1 species